rnacentral:rRNA from 1 species
ACGAACGCUGGCGGCGUGCCUAAUACAUGCAAGUCGAACGCUUCUUUUUCCACCGGAGCUUGCUCCACCGGAAAAAGAGGAGUGGCGAACGGGUGAGUAACACGUGGGUAACCUGCCCAUCAGAAGGGGAUAAUACUUGGAAACAGGUGCUAAUACCGUAUAACAAUCGAAACCGCAUGGUUUUGAUUUGAAAGGCGCUUUCGGGUGUCGCUGAUGGAUGGACCCGCGGUGCAUUAGCUAGUUGGUGAGGUAACGGCUCACCAAGGCGACGAUGCAUAGCCGACCUGAGAGGGUGAUCGGCCACAUUGGGACUGAGACACGGCCCAAACUCCUACGGGAGGCAGCAGUAGGGAAUCUUCGGCAAUGGACGAAAGUCUGACCGAGCAACGCCGCGUGAGUGAAGAAGGUUUUCGGAUCGUAAAACUCUGUUGUUAGAGAAGAACAAGGAUGAGAGUAACUGUUCAUCCCUUGACGGUAUCUAACCAGAAAGCCACGGCUAACUACGUGCCAGCAGCCGCGGUAAUACGUAGGUGGCAAGCGUUGUCCGGAUUUAUUGGGCGUAAAGCGAGCGCAGGCGGUUUCUUAAGUCUGAUGUGAAAGCCCCCGGCUCAACCGGGGAGGGUCAUUGGAAACUGGGAGACUUGAGUGCAGAAGAGGAGAGUGGAAUUCCAUGUGUAGCGGUGAAAUGCGUAGAUAUAUGGAGGAACACCAGUGGCGAAGGCGGCUCUCUGGUCUGUAACUGACGCUGAGGCUCGAAAGCGUGGGGAGCAAACAGGAUUAGAUACCCUGGUAGUCCACGCCGUAAACGAUGAGUGCUAAGUGUUGGAGGGUUUCCGCCCUUCAGUGCUGCAGCUAACGCAUUAAGCACUCCGCCUGGGGAGUACGACCGCAAGGUUGAAACUCAAAGGAAUUGACGGGGGCCCGCACAAGCGGUGGAGCAUGUGGUUUAAUUCGAAGCAACGCGAAGAACCUUACCAGGUCUUGACAUCCUUUGACCACUCUAGAGAUAGAGCUUCCCCUUCGGGGGCAAAGUGACAGGUGGUGCAUGGUUGUCGUCAGCUCGUGUCGUGAGAUGUUGGGUUAAGUCCCGCAACGAGCGCAACCCUUAUUGUUAGUUGCCAUCAUUUAGUUGGGCACUCUAGCAAGACUGCCGGUGACAAACCGGAGGAAGGUGGGGAUGACGUCAAAUCAUCAUGCCCCUUAUGACCUGGGCUACACACGUGCUACAAUGGGAAGUACAACGAGUCGCAAAGUCGCGAGGCUAAGCUAAUCUCUUAAAGCUUCUCUCAGUUCGGAUUGUAGGCUGCAACUCGCCUACAUGAAGCCGGAAUCGCUAGUAAUCGCGGAUCAGCACGCCGCGGUGAAUACGUUCCCGGGCCUUGUACACACCGCCCGUCACACCACGAGAGUUUGUAACACCCGAAGUCGGUGAGGUAACCUUUUGGAGCCAGCCGCCUAAGGUGGGAUAGAUGAUUGGGGUG